rnacentral:rRNA from 1 species
UACGAAGGGGGCUAGCGUUGUUCGGAAUUACUGGGCGUAAAGCGCACGUAGGCGGACUAUUAAGUCAGGGGUGAAAUCCCGGGGCUCAACCCCGGAAUUGCCUUCAAAACUGGAUAUCUUGAGUUCGGGAGAGGUGAGUGGAACUCCGAGUGUAGAGGUGAAAUUCGUAGAUAUUCGGAAGAACACCAGUGGCGAAGGCGACUCACUGGCCCGAUACUGACGCUGAGGCGCGAAAGCGUGGGGAGCAAACAGG